GUUGAGGUCUAUCCCGAUGAGGCUUUUUCUGUAAACCUACAUCAUUGGAAACGCCUCACAGAGUAACUGUGGUUUCCUUUACUCACUGAACUACCUGUUAGAUCAGUGGGGAAGAACUACAAGACAGAG
ensembl:snoRNA